CGGGUCUCAGAUGAACUCCUGUUCUAAAAAUGUCUGAGCCCAGAGCACAGAUUGCUAAUGAUUUUUAUUAACAAUAACUCCUCCUAUUCCUAGCUCCAUUCACACAUACCCUUCGACCAGUCAGUGAACAGGAUAUUCAGGAUCACCUCAUAUGGGCAGACUGCAUGACUCCUUUUUAAGGACAAAGGAAUGUGAGUACAGUUGAUACACAUGCU